rnacentral:snoRNA from 24 species
AUUACAAAAGGCUGAUCGAGAAAAUUUAAUAGUUAGAGAGACAUACUAUAUAUUGCCCCAGGCGGGAUGAAGGGGCUGAGUGGGCGCAUGCCCUCAAUGAAGCCACUUGCGAACUUGGGGCGACAGGCGGUGUCGAGACGUCCCCUUCGGAGAGAGUAUACGCUUUCGAUGAUGUAGGGGCAACCCCGACACCGCACAACCCCGAUGGGUCAGCGGUCUUGAGCGGGCAUUUGCCUUCGAUGAGAGACCGUGUUAGCGUUCGGGGAACAUCUCA